GAACUUUGUUAUCAGUGGUGAGGAGCCUAAGGACUGGAGGGGGCUGAACUGGCUUAACUCAGGUGCUGGUUGGUGCUGCCAUCUCUGGAGUUCAGGUAUUCUUUCAUGGCAGAUGAGACUACAAGGAGUCCUUUAUUAUCCUACAUCCCUUCUGUAAAC